AUUCCUUUCAAUUUUAGGUAAAAGAAACCUUUUUACCAGAUAGUGACGAGUGGCUACCAUGAUUAAUAAGUGACUAGACCUCAUGAUCCUCCUCAUACUAAAAGGGGUGAAUGCUGCAAUGAUCAUUGGUAGGACUGUUAGGCUUUGUUUCUCAAGAGGAUAAUCUGAUUGGGAAAAGAAUAAGAGUGCAGCUGCAGCCCAUCCUUGUGAAGAAGGUACCAGUGCGCACUCAAAGCCAAGUCUUGAAAAUAAUAGCAGAUACAGAGAAGCCACAGAUGGCAUUGUCACCAGAAAAUGGAAGCACAAAGCGCUUUGGGUAACAGCAAUUCAAGAAUGACCGCAGAGAAAAUCUAUUAAGAAAUUCAAAUGCAGAUUUCAAUAUUUGCAUACAGUUUCUCAGUAAAAUACAUUUGAUUAAAUCUUAUAACAAACAAGCUUAUGAAAUGCAGAUAUACAAAAAGGAAAAAAUAAGAAGCAUGCAUAAUUCUACCACUGAAAAAUACUACUAAAAUUUGGUAUUUAAACUUUUGAAUGUUUGUCACUGCACUUGCAUGUGUGUGUAAAUAUAAUCUCCAACUCUGCAGAGAAAUACAAGAAUUGUUAUGAACCUUAAUAAACU
rnacentral:lncRNA from 1 species